rnacentral:rRNA from 1 species
UGGGGAAUAUUGCACAAUGGGCGAAAGCCUGAUGCAGCAACGCCGCGUGAGGGACGACGGCCUUCGGGUUGUAAACCUCUUUUAGCAAGGAAGAAGCGAAAGUGACGGUACUUGCAGAAAAAGCGCCGGCUAACUACGUGCCAGCAGCCACGGUAAUACGUAGGGCGCAAGCGUUAUCCGGAAUUAUUGGGCGUAAAGAGCUCGUAGGCGGUUUGUCGCGUCUGCUGUGAAAACCCGAGGCUCAACCUCGGGCCUGCAGUGGGUACGGGCAGACUAGAGUGCGGUAGGGGAGAUUGGAACUCCUGGUGUAGCGGUGGAAUGCGCAGAUAUCAGGAAGAACACCGAUGGCGAAGGCAGAUCUCUGGGCCGUAACUGACGCUGAGGAGCGAAAAGGGUGGGGAGCAAAACAGGCUUAGAUACCCUGGUAGUCCACCCCGUAAACGUUGGGAACUAGUUGUGGGGUCCAUUCCACGGAUUCCGUGACGCAGCUAACGCAUUAAGUUCCCCGCCUGGGGAGUACGGCCGCAAGGCUAAAACU